rnacentral:rRNA from 1 species
ACGGGAGGCAGCAGUGGGGAAUAUUGCACAAUGGGCGCAAGCCUGAUGCAGCGAUGCCGCGUGAGGGAAGAAGGUUUUCGGAUUGUAAACCUCUGUCCUCAGGGACGAUAAUGACGGUACCUGAGGAGGAAGCUCCGGCUAACUACGUGCCAGCAGCCGCGGUAAUACGUAGGGAGCGAGCGUUGUCCGGAAUUACUGGGUGUAAAGGGUGCGUAGGCGGGACGGCAAGUCAGAUGUGAAAUGUAUGGGCUUAACCCAUGAACUGCAUUUGAAACUGUUGUUCUUGAGUGAGGUAGAGGUAAGCGGAAUUCCUAGUGUAGCGGUGAAAUGCGUAGAUAUUAGGAGGAACACCAGUGGCGAAGGCGGAUUGCUGGACGACAACUGACGGUGAGGCGCGAAAGCGUGGGGAGCAAACAGGAUUAGAUACCCUGGUA